CAGCCGCCGCGGUAAUACGAAGGGGGCUAGCGUUGUUCGGAUUUACUGGGCGUAAAGGGCGCGUAGGCGGAUUUGUAAGUCAGGGGUGAAAUCCCGAGGCUCAACCUCGGAACUGCCUUUGAUACUGUGGAUCUUGAGUCCGGGAGAGGUGAGUGGAACUGCGAGUGUAGAGGUGAAAUUCGUAGAUAUUCGCAAGAACACCAGUGGCGAAGGCGACUCUCUGGUCUGUAACUGACGCUGAGGAGCGAAAGCGUGGGGAGCGAACAGGAUUAGAGACCCCAGUAGUCCCUGUCUCUUAUAC
rnacentral:rRNA from 1 species